rnacentral:rRNA from 1 species
GCUGGAAUUGCUAGUAAUGGCAGGUCAGCAUACUGCCGUGAAUACGUUCCCGGGCCUUGUACACACCGCCCGUCACAUCAUGAGAGUUGGGAAUACCCGAAGCCUGUGAGCUAACAUAUGAGGCAGCAGUCGAAGGUAGAAUCAAUGAUUGGGGUGAAGUCGUAACAAGGUAAC